UCUGAGUUAGCUGCCGAAGACAGCAGGUGCCGCAAGGCAUAAGUUCGGGAGAACACCUGCCGAGGAAGACGUGGAAGAAUACGAAUUUCCGCCUCUCUGUCUUGAUGGCAGGGAGGCUUUUUCUUUUC
rnacentral:sRNA from 1 species